CUCCACCCUCUCGGCCAACGGCAAAUCUGACCGACCUGAGCUGGAGUAGGGACGCUGGGAGUAGAAAUGCCCUGAGAGCUUCCUGGCGGAGGCGCAGAAAAGACGUGGUGGUGAGGCGCUUGGGUUUGGAGACGCACGAAACUGGGUUCUUUGAGCUCAGUUGCUCCCCGUAAAAUCGGAAUAAUGCACUUUCCAGAGCAUUUUCUCGAAUUAGGAGUUAAUUCGAUCCAGUGCGCCUUCCUCGGCACACUAGAAGACGGAAGCUCAAUGAGAUUAAGAAAUUUGCCCACGGUCAGACAGCUAGAAAGUGCCCGAACUGGGAGUUGAAGUUCAUUUGCCAGUGACCAGGAAUCAAAAUGACCCAGGGAUGGUAGCAGCUCUGCACUGACCAGGCCUGGGGAACUGCACUGCUUCUCGUGACGGUUUUGCACUCCGGGGAGAACCAGGAUACCAGUUUCCUAGUUGCUCGUCUCAGGACUUAAUGAAGCUCAGGUUCUUUAUGUCUUGGCACAGAAGGAAUUCAGCGAGAGGCAAAGUGAUA